ensembl:lncRNA
GGGUUUGCAUGUAUCUUAUAGGAAUGCUUCAGCUUUUAGUGUGAAAGCUUAUUUCUAUCAAGAUUUUGUUUUUCCUUGCUUGAUAGCAUUGCUCUAAGGGCAGAGUGUAGAAGGCAGAAAUGCUUGCAGAAUGAGUUAACAAUUAGAGGUGACUUCUGUCUGCAAAGAAGCACGUAGAUUUUUUUUUUUUUUGGAAAGGGUGAGGCCUUUGUUUAUCUAGUCUGUGCAGUAGGGUUGCUGAGGGUGCACUUAGUCCCACUGUUGCUGUCAUUGAUGAUGUUGCAGAGCAUUGGUCCUGGUACUGAACUGGGAGAAAUACUGCUUACCUCCAUCCAAUCCGGACAUUGAGCCGUUGACCACCGCUGUCUGCGUACAAUAUCAUAACCAGUUCCUUGUCCAUCAAACGAUCCACCUGUCAAGUCCAUAUCUUUCCUAUUUGAAGAGAACAGUGUCGUGGGGACCAUGUCAAAGGCCUUGUCCAAAUAGAUGACAUCAGUGGCUCUUCCCUUGUUCACUGAUGCAGUUACACUGUAAAGAAGGCCACUACGUUGGUCAGGCAGGACCUGCACCUGGUGAAGUCGUGUUGGUUGUCUGCUAUUACCUCGUUGUCCAUGUGCCUUAAUAUAGCUUCCGUGAGGAUCUGUUCCAUCAUCUUCCUCGGCACUGAGAGCCCGUGCCUCUUGUGAAGCAGUCCAGCAGUCCCAAGAGUCCAGCCAGCUUUUUUUCCUGUGUCCACCUGGCGUGAAAUACCGCUCUGGUGAAUUGGUUCACGCAAGGCCCAAUAACUGGAGAUGAGAAGGAAAGGUGUGUUCCACUUACUGGCAUCAUAUGGUGCCUACUCAAGGGAAACCUGGUGAAGCCUUCACACAUAAUUAGCUCGCUAGAAUGGCGCAUUACCGUUACAUGUCAUGAAAAGCAGAAGACCUGCAAUGUGCUGGAUGAGGCUUUCCCCUGCAAGGAAGCUGGUUGCUGCCAUGAUGCACCUGCAGAGAUCAGCUGCAGCCAUGCCCUGGGAACAUAGUGAUUCUUCUGAAGUCUGUUGCCACCAAAACAGAGAAAUAAAAAGUUGGGUUUACAGUUAAUGUCUCUUCCCUUGCAGGAGAAAGGGGAGAGAUGCUUAGAAACAGGCAUUGGCCUGGCCGGUGCCAGGCAGACCCACAGAAGGAGCAACUCCAUACCUACAAGUGCCUGUAAGUAGAAAGCAAUCCUCUCUAGGAUCAAACCAAUGAGACUGCUGCAUAUGGAUGCUUUUGUAGCUGUGCUAUGAACUUCCCAGUUCUAUGUGAGCUAUGUGGUCAUGCAGUUUCAGCCACAUAAGAUUCAGGAUGUAAGUGCAACAUGGAUUUAUGCAAACACACCAUGAUAGACUUUGUUCUCUAUUUCCUCUUUGAGCUUAAGGUAACUUGGAUGGACAUAAAUGCUCCAGUUUCUGAAAGCUGGGGAGUUUCCAUGCAGAUGGGUUUUGCCAUAAUUAUUUAGCAUGUGGCUCCUGAUGUCACCUCUUGAAACAUCUGCUGCUGGAUGUCCUCCAGAGAUGCUGGAAUGCAGGUUCCCAACCUAAGGUCUGCUAAUUCCUGCAGGGGCAAGGGGAAAGGCAACCUUUCUACACAAGCUAGCAUCUCAUUCCUGCCUUGUUCUUAGGAAAUGGACAGAGUGAGCUGUCCUGAUCAUUUAGGGAGCAGGUGACAUUUGUACUGCUGGCUUGUCUUUGACAGGUUGAAAGGGAUGUUGCACAAGCAUACUUAUUGGCUGACAGACCUGCUAUAUGUUAAUAACGCACCUCUGAGAGAUACCUGCUGGAGAGGAAGAUGAGGUGCUCUGGUGCUGGUAAUGCUCCUCCUUUCCUACAGCCAGCUCUCAUUACAAUUGGCUCCUGUCAGUCCUUCUCUGCCCUGCUCCUCCCAGUACCAGUCCCAGUGUCCAGAAACCAACGAUGGCCAGCAGCACUCAGAAAUCAUUUCUGGUUACGUGGGAGCAUGACGAGUACUUCCCUCCUCUUUGCCCCCCUUAUCCGCGGGAUACAACUUCCAUCAGCAGUUUCCCUCAGCAGCCCGUGCUGGCUGGGGCAGCAGUGUCCAUGCCACUGAACUUGCGGGGAAGAAGAAAGUAAGGGCCAGAGUGACUUUAUUUAUUUAUUUUGCAAGGCCAGCCAUUUCUCUCAUUUUUACUUUCCAUGCUCUUCAGAGACACCAGCACAUCCUGCCACUGGCACCCUGCUCCUUGACGUGAUACCACAGAGGUGACUGCUUUACAAGGAGGUAAAUGGCCAUGCAGCUGUAUACAGACAGUGAAGGCAAGCAGCACAGAGGGUCCCAUCCUGCAUAGAUGCAGCUCCUUGAGCUUGCUCUGGUGAGGUGGUGCUUUCUUCUAACCAUUGGUUCCUAGCUGCAGAUUCAUACCUUUAGAUUUAAAGAGGAAGCAUGCAAGGAAGAAGCUGAGUCUUCAGGGUAUUCACGUUGUGAUGGGGAGAGAGGUAUUUUUUUCCUGUGGAGUGCAUUCCAGUAUAAAGACUUUGUGUUUCAGGAGAGGCAGAAAGUGUUCAAGAGGCACUCCUGCCUUUUUACACUUAAACUGGGAGCUAUCCCAGGCUUGGCUCUUCUCCGUGGGCAGCAGGAGUAUACCACAUGGGGGGGAUGCAGAGGGGUCUCUUCACCUUCCUCCCACCUCCAGAUCCAACCAGGCCCUCCACAUAGCUUCCCUUCCUGCACAUUCUUCAGGGCACAGCUUAUGAUCACAACCAACACGCAGUGUUGACGUUGGUGUUGUGGACCUUAAGUGGCAGCCAGACAUAUGGGUUGUGAGUACACUGAGCCCUGGAACCAACGCUGCCUCCAGCCUCAGUAUGUUCUGUGGCUGUGCGGCGCUGUUGAGAACAGUGAGGGCUCGCGGUCCCUGGAGGCACCACAGCAGUACAUCACAGCAAUUAGACUGGGGGAAGUCUGAGGUGAGAGCUGUUUUUUGUGUCUCUUGGUACACGUGAGCUUGGCUGAAGCUGGAAGGAGUUGCAACACCAGCACCUGUAUCUCUAGCGGCUUC